rnacentral:rRNA from 1 species
AGAGUUUGAUCAUGGCUCAGAACGAACGCUGGCGGCAUGCCUAACACAUGCAAGUCGAACGAAGCCUUCGGGCUUAGUGGCGCACGGGUGCGUAACGCGUGGGAAUCUGCCCUUGGGUUCGGAAUAACAGUUAGAAAUGACUGCUAAUACCGGAUGAUGUCUUCGGACCAAAGAUUUAUCGCCCAGGGAUGAGCCCGCGUAGGAUUAGGUAGUUGGUGGGGUAAAGGCCUACCAAGCCGACGAUCCUUAGCUGGUCUGAGAGGAUGAUCAGCCGCACUGGGACUGAGACACGGCCCAGACUCCUACGGGAGGCAGCAGUGGGGAAUAUUGGACAAUGGGGGAAACCCUGAUCCAGCAAUGCCGCGUGAGUGAUGAAGGCCUUAGGGUUGUAAAGCUCUUUUACCAGGGAUGAUAAUGACAGUACCUGGAGAAUAAGCUCCGGCUAACUCCGUGCCAGCAGCCGCGGUAAUACGGAGGGAGCUAGCGUUGUUCGGAAUUACUGGGCGUAAAGCGCACGUAGGCGGCUAUUCAAGUCAGAGGUGAAAGCCCGGGGCUCAACCCCGGAACUGCCUUUGAAACUAGGUAGCUAGAAUUCUGGAGAGGUCAGUGGAAUUCCGAGUGUAGAGGUGAAAUUCGUAGAUAUUCGGAAGAACACCAGUGGCGAAGGCGACUGACUGGACAGAUAUUGACGCUGAGGUGCGAAAGCGUGGGGAGCAA